rnacentral:piRNA from 1 species
UAUAAGCCUGUGUGUCAGGAGUGCUGUA